rnacentral:rRNA from 1 species
GACGAACGCUGGCGGCGUGCCUAACACAUGCAAGUCGAGCGGGGUUGAAGCGAGGGGUAACUCGAGUUUCUACCUAGCGGCGGACGGGUGAGUAACGCGUGGGCAACCUGCCUCAAGGACUGGGAUAACAGCUCGAAAGGGCUGCUAAUACCGGAUAAGCCUAUGGCCUCGCAUGGGGCCAUGAGCAAAGGGGAAACCCGCCUUGAGAUGGGCCCGCGUCCCAUCAGCUAGUUGGUGAGGUGAAGGCUCACCAAGGCGACGACGGGUAGCCGGCCUGAGAGGGUGACCGGCCACACUGGGACUGAGACACGGCCCAGACUCCUACGGGGGGCAGCAGUGGGGAAUCUUGCACAAUGGGCGAAAGCCUGAUGCAGCGACGCCGCGUGAGCGAAGAAGGCCUCGGUUGUAAAGCUCUGUCUGGAGGACGAAGGAAGUGACGGUACCUCCGGAGGAAGCCACGGCUAACUACGUGCCAGCAGCCGCGUAAAGUCAACGUCG